rnacentral:rRNA from 1 species
CCUACGGGUGGCAGCAGUGGGGAAUAUUGCGCAAUGGGCGAAAGCCUGACGCAGUGACGCCGCGUGAGGGAUGAAGGUCUUCGGAUCGUAAACCUCUGUCAGCAGGGAAGUACGGUCACUGUGCUAAUCAGCAGUGAAUUGACGGUACCUGCAAAGGAAGCACCGGCUAACUCCGUGCCAGCAGCCGCGGUAAUACGGAGGGUGCGUGCGUUAAUCGGAAUUACUGGGCGUAAAGCGCUCGUAGGCGGUAUGUCAAGUCAAGGGUGAAAUCCCCGCGCUCAACGGGGGAACUGCCUUUGAAACUGGCAGACUGGAGUGUGUGAGAGGAUAGUGGAAUUCGAGGUGUAGGAGUGAAAUCCGUAGAUAUCUGGAGGAACAUCAGUGGCGAAGGCGACUAUCUGGCACAUAACUGACGCUGAGGAGCGAAAGCGUGGGUAGCAAACAGGAUUAGAUACCCUUGUAGUC